UCACUGGUGGUCCACUGGCUAAGACUCUGCACUCCCUAUGCAGUGGGUCCAGGUUCGAUCCCUGGUCAGGGAA
rnacentral:tRNA from 1 species